rnacentral:misc_RNA from 1 species
GCAGAAUUGUUGAGAUAUAUGGGCCCGAAAGUAGUGGAAAGACUACCUUAGCUCUCCAUGCUAUUGCAGAAGUACAGAAGCUAGGAGGCAAUGCAAUGCUUGUUGAUGCUGAGCAUGCUUUUGAUCCUGCAUACUCCAAAGCACUUGGAGUAGAUGUAGAGAAUUUGAUCGUCUGCCAGCCUGAUAAUGGAGAGAUGGCUCUAGAAAUCGCAGACCGGAUGUGUAGAUCAGGUGCCGUAGAUCUCAUUUGCAUUGAUUCAGUCUCAGCCCUUACUCCACGUGCUGAAAUUGAGGGAGAAAUCGGGAUGCAGCAAAUGGGUUUACAAGCACGCCUGAUGAGUCAAGCUUUACGUAAAAUGUCAGGCAAUGCCUCCAAAGCUGGAUGUACUCUUAUAUUCCUCAAUCAGAUAAGAUACAAGAUUGGUGUUUAUUACGGAAAUCCUGAGGUCACAAGUGGAGGGAUUGCCUUAAAGUUUUUCGCCUCCGUUCGACUUGAAAUCCGUUCCACAGGGAAGAUAAAAUCUGCAAAAGGAGACGAGGAAGUGGGUAUUAAGGUCCGAGUGAGAGUUCAAAAGAGUAAGGUUUCUAGACCAUACAAGCAAGCAGAAUUUGAAAUUAUGUUUGGAGAAGGAGUGAGCAAGCUGGGUUGUGUAUUAGAUUGUGCGGAACUGAUUGAGGUGGUGGCUAAGAAAGGUUCAUGGUAUAACUACGGAGAGCAUAGGCUGGGACAGGGAAGAGAGAAAGCAUUGCAAUAUUUGAGAGAAAAUCCUCUUCUCCCUCCCGUUUGUCUCUAGCACCGAUGACCGAACCAUCUUUUCUAUUUCUUCAGAGAGAAGAGGAUU